CCUGAUCCCACGCAUCUAUCCCCACACUCAUACAUGUGCCCUUGUCCGCUUAGCUGCGCUAUCUCCCCAAGGCCUAGACCUUUGUAAAAGCCUUCAGUAAGGGGUUUUAGCAACCUACUAAAUCUUUUAUAAGGAUUAAGAAAGGAAAGAGAUCCAUAACGGAAUAUGAUAUUAGUUUCUGCACUCUUGCCUCUGAGGUGGAUUGGACCAAUAGUGGUUUAGUAUAUGCAUUUAUGGAAGGUGUUAAUGAUAACCUACCGGAUGAGGUGGCAGCCAGGGACCUUCCAGAGGACCUUAUCGAUUAUCUUAUCGACAUCGAAAACCGGUUAAGUUAGAGAGCCCAACAGAGGAAUCGUGUUAGACGUCCUACAGUUAUAAUAACUCUUAGGGCCUCGGUUCUUCAUCUACACAUACUGAGCCCAUGCAACUAGCGGUGACCAAACUGGCUGAGCCGAAGAAUCAAUAUAGGAGAAAAGAGGGGCCCUGCUUAUAUUGUGGCCAAAAGGGGCAUCUUAGAUUGACUUAUCUGGUGCGUCCGUAAAACUGUCGCCCCUAAGGUUGCUCAGGGGACCGACC